rnacentral:rRNA from 1 species
GAUUUCUGGGCUCAAGAAUUUGGCCGGCCACGGUUUCGUGUGUUAGUGCUUUGUUCUGUGUCCAUCCUUCCAAUCGCCCUUGGCUCUUCUUCAUUGAUUGGUCAGGGGCAUUGGAUCUUUUACUUUGAAAAAAUUAGAGUGUUUCAAGCAGGCUUUAUGCUAUGAAUACAUUAGCAUGGAAUAAUAAUUUAGGACUUCGGUUCUAUUUUGUUGGUUUCUAGGACUGAAGUAAUGAUUGAUAGGGAUAGUUGGGGGUGCUAGUAUUCAGCGGCCAGAGGUGAAAUUCUCGGAUUCGCUGAAGACUAACUUAUGCGAAAGCAUU